rnacentral:misc_RNA from 1 species
CCGAGUUUACAACUCCCAAACCCCUGUGAACAUACUACUUGUUGCCUCGGCGGAUCAGCCCGCUCCCGGUAAAACGGGACGGCCCGCCAGAGGACCCCUAAACUCUGUUUCUAUAUGUAACUUCUGAGUAAAACCAUAAAUAAAUCA